rnacentral:misc_RNA from 1 species
AAAUAUUAAGACAUUGUCUUUUGUUGAUAUUCUCACGAUAGUGAUUUAUCUAAAUAUUUUGGCGUGUUUAAUAGCAUUCAAAAAACGCAGUGAAAUGUGUUUAUGAACUGUUGAAUACUUGCCUUGUUUCUAUCUCUUAA